GACGGAGGGGGCAAGCGUUGUUCGGAAUUAUUGGGCGUAAAGAGCUCGUAGGCGGUCUGUCGCGUCUGCUGUGAAAACCUAGGGCUUAACUCUGGGCGUGCAGUGGGUACGGGCAGGCUAGAGUGCGGUGGGGGAGACUGGAAUUCCUGGUGUAGCGGUGAAAUGCGCAGAUAUCAGGAGGAACACCGGUGGCGAAGGCGGGUCUCUGGGCCGUAACUGACGCUGAGGAGCGAAAGCAUGGGGAGCGAACAGG
rnacentral:rRNA from 1 species